GAUGAACGCUGGCGGCGUGCCUAAUACAUGCAAGUCGAGCGAACAGAUGAGGAGCUUGCUCCUCUGACGUUAGCGGCGGACGGGUGAGUAACACGUGGAUAACCUACCUAUAAGACUGGGAUAACUUCGGGAAACCGGAGCUAAUACCGGAUAAUAUAUUGAACCGCAUGGUUCAAUAGUGAAAGACGGUUUUGCUGUCACUUAUAGAUUGAUCCGCGCCGCAUUAGCUAGUGGGUAAGGUAACGGCUUACCAAGGCAACGACGCGUAGCCGACCUGAGCGGGUGAUCGGCCACACUGGAACUGAGACACGGUCCAGACUCCUACGGGAGGCAGCAGUAGGGAAUCUUCCGCGAUGGGCGAAAGCCUGACGGAGCAACGCCGCGUGAGUGAUGAAGGUCUUCGGAUCGUAAAGCUCUGUUAUUAGGGAAGAACAAAUGUGUAAGUAACUAUGCACGUCUUGACGGUACCUAAUCAGAAAGCCACGGCUAACUACGUG
rnacentral:rRNA from 1 species